rnacentral:rRNA from 1 species
AAGUAGGUAGCUUAACCUUCGGAGGGCGCUUACCACUUUGUGAUUCAUGACUGGGGUGAAGUCGUAACAAGGUAACCGUAGGGGAACCUGCGGUUGGAUCACCUCCUUA